rnacentral:rRNA from 1 species
CCCUUAGAUGUUCUGGGCCGCACGCGUGCUACACUGAUGCAUUCAACGAGUCUAAAACCUGGUCUGAUAGGGCUGGGUAAUCUUUUGAAAGUGCAUCGUGAUUGGGAUAGAUGAUUGCAAUUCUUCAUCUUCAACGAGGAAUGCCUAGUAAACGCAAGUCAUCAGCUUGCAUUGAUUACGUCCCUGUCCUUUGUACACACCGCCCGUCGCUCCUACCGAUUGAAUGAUCCGAUGAAUACCAUGGAUUGAGAGUACGAAUAGGUUCGCUUAUUUCUGCUGCUCGAGAAGUGGAGUAAAUCUUAUCAUUUAGAGGAAGGAGAAGUCGUAACA